rnacentral:rRNA from 1 species
UCGAACGAUGAACCUCCUUCGGGAGGGGAUUAGUGGCGAACGGGUGAGUAACACGUGGGCAAUCUGCCCUUCACUCUGGGACAAGCCCUGGAAACGGGGUCUAAUACCGGAUACGAGUUCGGGAGGCAUCUCCUGGACUGGAAAGCUCCGGCGGUGAAGGAUGAGCCCGCGGCCUAUCAGCUUGUUGGUGGGGUAACGGCCCACCAAGGCGACGACGGGUAGCCGGCCUGAGAGGGCGACCGGCCACACUGGGACUGAGACACGGCCCAGACUCCUACGGGAGGCAGCAGUGGGGAAUAUUGCACAAUGGGCGAAAGCCUGAUGCAGCGACGCCGCGUGAGGGAUGACGGCCUUCGGGUUGUAAACCUCUUUCAGCAGGGAAGAAGCGAAAGUGACGGUACCUGCAGAAGAAGCGCCGGCUAACUACGUGCCAGCAGCCGCGGUAAUACGUAGGGCGCAAGCGUUGUCCGGAAUUAUUGGGCGUAAAGAGCUCGUAGGCGGCUUGUCACGUCGGGUGUGAAAGCCCGGGGCUUAACCCCGGGUCUGCAUCCGAUACGGGCAGGCUAGAGUGUGGUAGGGGAGAUCGGAAUUCCUGGUGUAGCGGUGAAAUGCGCAGAUAUCAGGAGGAACACCGGUGGCGAAGGCGGAUCUCUGGGCCAUUACUGACGCUGAGGAGCGAAAGCGUGGGGAGCGAACAGGAUU